UACAGGGGGGGCAAGCGUUUGUUCGGAAUUACUGGGCGUAAAGGGCCAGUAGGCGGCCAACUAAGUCCGACGUGAAAUCCCCAAGCUUAACUUGGGAACUGCGUCGGAUACUGGAUGGCUUGAAUUCGGGAGAGGGAUGCAGAAUUCCAGGUGUAGCGGUGAAAUGCGUAGAUAUCGGGAGGAACACCAGUGGCGAAGGCGACUACCUGGCCUGUUCUUGACGCUGAGGCGCGAAAGCUAGGGGAGCAAACGGG
rnacentral:rRNA from 1 species